rnacentral:rRNA from 1 species
CCGUAGGUGAACCUGCGGAGGGAUCAUAA